rnacentral:rRNA from 1 species
AUUGAACGCUGGCGGCAUGCCUUACACAUGCAAGUCGAACGGCAGCACGGGUGCUUGCACCUGGUGGCGAGUGGCGAACGGGUGAGUAAUACAUCGGAACAUGUCCUGUAGUGGGGGAUAGCCCGGCGAAAGCCGGAUUAAUACCGCAUACGAUCCACGGAUGAAAGCGGGGGACCUUCGUGCCUCGCGCUAUAGGGUUGGCCGAUGGCUGAUUAGCUAGUUGGUGGGGUAAAGGCCUACCAAGGCGACGAUCAGUAGCUGGUCUGAGAGGACGACCAGCCACACUGGGACUGAGACACGGCCCAGACACCUACGGGAGGCAGCAGUGGGGAAGGGUGGACAAUGGGCGGAAUCCUGAUCCAGCAAUGCCGCGUGUGUGAAGAAGGCCUUCGGGUUGUAAAGCACUUUUGGCCGGAAAGAAAGCCUUGGCUCUAAUACAGUCGGGGGAUGACGGUACCGGAAGAAGAAGCACCGGCUAACUACGUG